CUAAAUCCCACGUCUCCUACACACAUCAUCAAACGUGACGGUUCCAAUGAAAAGCUGGUAGGCCGUAAACCGACUCGCCUUGAACAGUCGUUCCACUCCACUUCCUAAAACUUUGUCACAUCGCUGGGGUGAAGUUGACUCUCUACUUCCACGAACACAACCUGUCUGAUGGGCGGUCCGAAAA